GGCCACAGGCCACCCAGUGACAUUUGUCUCAGCAUCUGCUGGGGUGGACUCUGCAGAGGCUGCUGCUGGCCUCAACGGGUUCCUUGCACAGCUCUGCUUAGGGGUGGAGGCCAUCUAGAAACCCUCAGCCCCCUCUCGGCCUUAGAGCCAACAGCCCUGCCUGGACCAUCAGCGGGCAUGUCAUCAGUGCCACCGCCAGCACUCCUGCUCCUGGAUGCCCCCGAGGCUUUCCUGCCUGGGUCACCCAGGGGCCUCUAGGGGUGCUCUGGAGCUGGGAGCCGCUGCCCUGCAGCUCCCGCCCUCUCCGGGCCUCUCUGGGCUGCCUGCCAAUCCCUCAGUCCCGAUUGAUCGCUUGUUUUGCUGCAAGGCUGUUGGUUUACGUGGAAAUAGAGGCAGCCAAAGAGUGUCCUCAGCCCAUUAAGAGCCCCUGGGUUGCACCUACUGAGUUCCUUUGGGCUGCUGUAACAAAACGCCUCAGCCUGGGCGGCUCAUAAACAACGGAAUUGCGUUGCUGUCCGCUCUGGAAGCUGCAAGUCCGAGGUCAAGGCACUGGCAGGCCUGGUGUCUGGUGAGGACCUUCUCCCUGAGUCCCGAUGUGGCAGAAGGGCAGGGGAGCGCCCCGGGGACUUUUAUACGGACACUCCUCCCAUUCACGGCAGCUCUGCCUUCAUAACCUCAUCACCUACCAGAAGUCCCAGCUUUUCGUUCCUCACCUUGGGAGUGAAGACUUCAGUACAUGGGUUUCAGGGACAUAAACAUGUCAUUCUUAGAAGUGCCCCUGUCCUACACAAACGCUGAGUCCCCAGUGGCCUGUGUCCUAGCAAACGAGGGCUGCCCUGAAACAAAAUGCUGUUUCCCCAACGGCAGCCCUGGCAAGGCACCCAGAACUCUCCAGCAUGCUGGAGGGCAGGGCCUGGCCUUUCCAUGGGGUCCAGGGCUGUGGGGUCCCUAGAAAUACCGUGGGCCUGCAUGGCAGGGUGUGUGGGCUGAAGACUCUCUCCCUCCCAUGGUGGGAAGGGACAAAGGGCGGCCCUGGUGGAUGCAGACGGGCAGGACUGGGUGUGGGCACAAGGGCAGCUCCUUCCCGGCCUUUCCCGGGGACUUUGCCCCACACCACCUGCCCAGAUUUCUUCCUGUCAUCACUUCCGGCUCCAGGCACAGCCGUUGGUGACUCCUUGGUGGGAGCCAUGUCCUACCCAGUCCUGAUUCUGCUGCCUUCUUCCUCACAGUCCUCCAGGCUUGGGCCAGUCUUGGGGCAGCAGAGCUUCUGGGCUGACAAGGGUUCAUCACCCCUCCUCCACACCCUAUGA
rnacentral:lncRNA from 13 species